CCUACGGGGAGCUGCAGUGGGGAAUAUUGGGCAAUGGGCGCAAGCCUGACCCAGCAAUGCCGCGUGAAGGAAGAAGGCUUUCGGGUUGUAAACUUCUUUGACAGGGGAAGAGCAGAAGACGGUACCCUGAAAACAAGCCACGGCUAACUACGUGCCAGCAGCCGCGGUAAUACGUAGGUGGCAAGCGUUGUCCGGAUUUAAUGGGUGUAAAGGGCGUGUAGCCGGGAAGGCAAGUCAGAUGUGAAAUCUGGAGGCUCAACCUCCAAAUUGCAUUUGAAACUGUUUUUCUUGAGUACUGGAGAGGCAGACGGAAUUCCUUGUGUAGCGGUGACAUGCGUAGAUAUAAGGAGGAACACCAGUGGCGAAGGCGGUCUGCUGGACAGCAACUGACGGUGAGGCGCGAAAGCGUGGGGAGCAAACAGGAUUAGAUACCCCAGUAGUC
rnacentral:rRNA from 1 species